GCUCCAGUGGCGCAAUCGGUUAGCGCGCGGUACUUAUAAUGCCGAGGUUGUGAGUUCAAUCCUCACCUGGAGCA